rnacentral:lncRNA from 1 species
GGUAAAUUUGCAAAAGGCAGGCUGGUGUAGUGGUAAGGAAGAAGUUUAGCACCAUGUAAACCAGGGUUCGAAACCCAGCAGAGUCAGUUCCUCACAUUACCUCCACCUCUACAGGCGCAGCCUCUGGAUGCCCUAUUUCCUGGUUUAGCAGGGUACUGUGCAUGGAAAGACUGAAGAAGAUCAGGAGCAUGAAUAUUGUCCACUGGUUCCCACGAUCUAUCCUCCUCACCAUAGCCUUUCC